CCCGCCGGACCUGACUGCUAUCGGAUUGAUACUAAGCCAUGCGAGUCUUUGUAGUAAUACAAGGCAGACGGCUCAGUAACACGUAGUCAACCUACCCUAUGGACAAGAAUAAUCUCGGGAAACUGGGCAUAAUUCUUGAUAGAUCAUAAUGCCUGGAAUGGUUUAUGGUUAAAAUGAUUCGUCGCCAUAGGAUGGGACUGCGGCCUAUCAGCUUGUUGGUGAGGUAAUGGCCCACCAAGGCGAUUACAGGUACGGGCUCUGAGAGGAGAAGCCCGGAGAUGGGUACUGAGACACGGACCCAGGCCCUAUGGGGCGCAGCAGGCGAGAAAACUUUGCAAUGUGCGAAAGCACGACAAGGUUAAUCCGAGUGGUUUCUGCUAAAGGAACCUUUUGUUAGUCCUAAAAACACUAACGAAUAAGGGGUGGGCAAGUUCUGGUGUCAGCCGCCGCGGUAAAACCAGCACCUCAAGUGGUCAGGAUGAUUAUUGGGCCUAAAGCAUCCGUAGCCGGCUUUGUAAGUUUUCGGUUAAAUCCAUGUGCUCAACGCAUGGGCUGCCGAAAAUACUGCAUGGCUAGGGAGUGGGAGAGGUAGACGGUACUCAGUAGGUAGGGGUAAAAUCCUUCGAUCUAUUGAUGACCACCUGUGGCGAAGGCGGUCUACCAGAACACGUUCGACGGUGAGGGAUGAAAGCUGGGGGAGCAAACCGGAUUAGAUACCCGGGUAGUCCCAGCUGUAAACGAUGCAGACUCGAUGAUGCAUUGGCAUAAUAGCCAGUGCAGUGUCGCAGGGAAGCCGUUAAGUCUGCCGCCUGGGAAGUACGUACGCAAGUAUGAAACUUAAAGGAUUGGCGGGGAGCACACAAGGGUGAAGCCUGCGGU
rnacentral:rRNA from 1 species